UUCUUCUUUUUUUUUUUUUAUGGCGUCUCGCCCAGCCUGGAGUGCAGAGGCAGUCUUGGCUCACUGCAACCUCCACCUCCGGGGUUCAACUGAUUUUCCCGCCUCAGCCUGCUGAGUAGCUGGGAUUACAGGCACCCUCAUCAAGUCCGGCUAAUUUUUGUAUUUUUAGUAGAGACAGGGUUUCACCAUGUUGGCUAGGCUGGUCUUGACCUCCUGACCUCGGGUGAUCCUCCUGCCUCGGCCUCCCAAAAUGCUGGGAUUACAGGCGUGAGCCACCACGCACGGCUUCUGUUGUUCGUUGAAAUCAUCAUUUUUCUAAUGUCCUCAUUCUCUGCUGGCUAGUUUAAGGGCUGAUUCAAAAAAUAAAUUUUCACACUGUGAAAUACGCAAGAUGAAGAGAACAUUUAUAAAAUAUCCAUACUGUGCAUCUCUGAAUAAUCUUUUCUUCACAUCAGCGGCAGUACAAAUUAGGUGGAGUUUUAAAAGAUACUUCAGCAACUUACAGAUUACAGCAUGUUAUGUAUCUUCAAGAUAUUUUGCUUCAUUGGUGUGCUUGAACAUUUCUGGAUUCCUAGACUCCCAGAAAGCAGUGAGAGGAUAUUACGUUGCAGAAUUUGGUCAGAAUAUGAAGUUUGGAAGACCCUAUAUUCCUGCAGAUCCUUGGAUUGAGGUUAAUUCGAGAGCAAGCCGUGAGUGAGGUAGCCUUUAUUACUCAUCAUGUGUUUAAGAAUGAUGCAAUGAGGCUUUGUUCUCUGCCUAUCUGAAUCACGUGGCCCAAGCAAGAGAUAUCUAUUGAAAUAGCAGAUAGUAGUGUCAUUCCAUUAUAAUUACCAUUAUUUGAGCUUCAGAGAAGUGGCAUUGAAUAACUCAAUUGGAGAAUAUGCAAGUAAAAUUAACAAAACCGUACACUAUUAAAAAAUGACUUGGUAGAUUUCUUCCAGAAAACUUAGAAAACAGAAUCUCAUAGCUCUCUGCAUACUUUAUGUCAGGCCUCUGAGCUCAAGCCUGCACGUAUACAUCCAGAUGGCCUGAAGUAACUGAAGAAUCACAAAAGAAGUGAAAAUGGUCAGUUCCUGCCUUAACUGAUGACAUUACCUUGUGAAAUUCCUUCUCCUGGCUCAUCCUGGCUCAAAAGCUCCCCCACUGAGCACCCUGUGACCCCCAUCCCUGUCCACCAGAGAACAACUCCCUUUGACUGUAAUUUUCCACUACCCACCCAAAUCCUAUAAAAUGGCCCCACCCCUAUCUCCCUUCGCAGACUCUCUUUUUGGACUCAGCCCACUGCACCCAGGUGAAAUAAACAGCCUUGUUGCUCACACAAA
ensembl:lncRNA novel transcript